rnacentral:rRNA from 1 species
GUUACAAGUGUCACACGGAACUGGCCGGUCCGAUUAAACCCGGAGGAAGUGGGGAUGACGUCAAGUCAGCAUGGCCUUUAUAUCCUGGGCUACACACACGCUACAAUGGGAAGGGACAAUAGGUUGCGAAGCCGCGAGGCGGAGCCAAUCCAGCAAAACUUCCCUCAGUUCAGAUUGCAGGCUGCAACUCGCCUGCAUGAAGUUGGAGUUGCUAGUAAACGCAGGUCAGCCAUACUGCGUUGAAUACGUUCCCGGGGCUU